rnacentral:rRNA from 1 species
AAUGAACGCUGGCGGCAUGCCUAAUACAUGCAAGUCGAGCGAAAACACAAUGAGCUCGCUCCUCUACCGUUAGCGACGGGCGGAUGAGUAACACAUGGAUAACCUACUUAUAUGUCUGGGAUAACAUCGGAGAACAAGAUCCGCUAACACAUCAUACAUCGUACCGGAGGAUUCAGUAGAGCUUCACACUUUUCCUGUCUGUAUUAGCUGAUUCCGUGCCGCAUUAGCUAGUUGGUAAGGUAACGGCUUACCAAGGCGACGAUGCGUAGCCGACCUGAGAGGAUGAUCGGCCACACUGGAACUGAGACACGGUCCAGACUCCUACGGGAGGCAGCAGUAGGGAAUCUUCCGCAAUGGGCGAAAGCCUGACGGAGCAACGCCGCGUGAGUGAUGAAGGUCUUCGGAUCGUAAAGCUCUUUUAUUAGGGAAGAACAAAUGUGGAAUUAACUAUGCACGUUUUGACGGUACCUAAUCAGAAAGCCACGGCUAACUUCGUG